rnacentral:rRNA from 1 species
UACAGAGGUCCCAAGCGUUGUUCGGAUUCAUUGGGCGUAAAGCGCACGUAUGCGGCUAGUUAAGUUGGGGGUGAAAUCCUGGAGCUCAACUCCAGAACUGCCUCCAAAACUGACGAUCUUGAGUUCGGGAGAGGUGAGUGGAACUGCGAGUGUAGAGGUGAAAGUCGUAGAUAUUCGCAAGAACACCAGUGGCGAAGGCGGCUCACUGGCCCGAUACUGACGCUGAGGUGCGAAAGCGUGGGGAGCAAACAGG